GAUGAACGCUGGCGGCGUGCUUAACACAUGCAAGUCGAACGUGAAGAUGCAGCAAUGUAUCUGAAAGUGGCGGACGGGUGAGUAACACGUGGGUGACCUGCCUUGUAGUGGGGGAUAACCAUGGGAAACUGUGGCUAAUACCGCAUGGUCUUGAUGGGAGUGGAUUCCAUCAGGUAAAGCUUUAGUGCUACGAGAGGGGCCUGCGGUCGAUUAGGUAGUUGGUGAGGUAAUGGCUCACCAAGCCGAUGAUCGAUAGCUGGUCUGAGAGGACGAUCAGCCACACGGGAACUGAGAGACGGUCCCGACUCCUACGGGGGGCAGCAGUGAGGAAUAUUGGGCAAUGGGCGCAAGCCUGACCCAGCAACGCCGCGUGGAGGAUGAAGGUCUUUGGAUUGUAAACUCCUUUUGCAGGGGAAGAGAGCGGACGGUACCCUGAGAAUAAGUCACGGCUAACUACGUG
rnacentral:rRNA from 1 species